AUAUAACUAAGCGGAGGAAAAGAAACUAACUAGGAUUCCCUCAGUAACGGCGAGUGAAGCGGGAGAAGCUCAGACGUAAAAUCUUCGGAAAUGUCGUCUGGAGAAGCAAGAUUGGUGCACGUGGGUCGGGUUAAGUCUGCUGGAACGCAGCGCCAGGGAGGGUGACAGCCCCGUUCAUGCCUGACUACAACACGUGUGUUCAUUUCUGCUUUCAACGAGUCGAGUUGUUUGGGAUUGCAGCUCUAAGCGGGUGGUAAAUUCCAUCUAAAGCUAAAUAUUGGUGGGAGACCGAUAGCGCACAAGUA
rnacentral:rRNA from 1 species